UACGGAGGGUGCAAGCGUUAUCCGGAUUUACUGGGUUUAAAGGGUGCGUAGGUGGAUUUGUAAGUCAGUGGUGAAAUCUCCGAGCUUAACUCGGAAACUGCCAUUGAUACUAUAAGUCUUGAAUCAUCUGGAGGUAAGCGGAAUAUGUCAUGUAGCGGUGAAAUGCUUAGAUAUGACAUAGAACACCAAUUGCGAAGGCAGCUCACUAAGCUAUGAUUGACGCUGAGGCUCGAAAGCGUGGGGAUCAAACAGG
rnacentral:rRNA from 1 species